GCGCGCGCAGGAACUUGGAUCUCAACCCCAGGGCUAGGUGCCUCCUCCCGCUGCUUUCCGCCAGCUGCGGGGUGUGAGAUUAAUCCCCGCCGAUUAGCGCCAGGUGUACUAAUCCCUGGAUGGUUCCCUGACCAGAUGAAACAUCAGCCGAUGUUCUAAUGCCCGUCCCCUGGGCACUGUCCCCGAGAGGGAAAACCUGUUUUCUGACCCCGGCUCUAGUCGGCCUCUGGAGAUCUGCAGCUGGGUUAUUUUACUUCUGAAACGGACGACACCUGCCCCGCGCACCCCAGCGGCUCCUCCACACGGAGAGAUGGUGUCAGUCAAAGGCCGUCUAGAUGACGAGUUUAUGAAAUUGUUCCUGGCCCGUGCCGGGCACGACCUUGCAGAGAGCCCAGAAGAUGAAACCCCAGCCCUGCCAGGAGCUCACCUGCUAAUUAGGAGGACAACGAAUCACCUCACCUCCCUAGACUUUGCUUCUCCUUUAUUCAGUGAGGGAUUGGACUAGCUGGUCCUUAAGGACUUUUCAGAAAGUCUGGUUCUGGGAGAUGACCAAUGGGAUCAUCUUAUGCUAUGAGCUUUCCUGGAAUGACAGGUAAUGGAGAGUGAGGAGAUUUUACCUGAUAUGGUCCUGUUUGCACCGUCAGCCAGCAACCUUUCUGGGAAGCAUGCUUAUUAUGUACCAACAUAGAAGCUUGAAUAUAAGGUUCCUCAGGCCAGAUCUGACCCACUGGCAUUUAUUACAUUUUCUGCUAAAGGAGCCACUCUCAACCUGGAAGAGAGGAGAUCUGUGGCAAUCAGAUCCAGAGAGAAUGUGGUCUUCGUACAGACUGAUAAACCCACCUACAAGCCUGGACAGAAAGUGAUGUUUUGAGUUGUGUCUCUGGACGAUCAUUUGAAACCAGUUGAUGAAAUGUAUCCAGUGAUCACCCUUCAGGAUCCAGAAGGCAGUCGAAUACAACAGUGGGUGAAUGAGGAGUCUGUGGGAGGGAUUCUACAACUCUCCUUCCAGUUAAUCUCAGAGCCCAUCCUCGGAUGGUAUGAAAUCACCAUGGAGAUGCUCAAUGAGAAGAAAACAUAUCACUCCUUCUCUGUGGAAGAAUAUGUGUUACCCAAAUUUCAAAUGACUGUGGAUGCACCAGAAAAUAUCUUAGUUGUGGACUCUGAAUUCAAAGUGAAUGUCUGUGCCUUAUAUACCUAUGGUGAACCUGUGGACGGGAAGGUCCAACUUAGUGUGUGCAGAGAAUCUACGGCUUAUCAUUCAUGUGCUCAUCUUAUCAGUUCACUCUGUAAAAAUUUUACCAUUCAGUUGGGGAAAGAUGGCUGUGUCUCCAAGUUCAUUAACACAGGUGCUUUUGAGUUAAAUCGGUGUGCAGCUUACAGGCUCCAAGUACAUAUACAUAGACUCAUCAGUGGUGAAGAUUAGUUUUGAGAAUAUGGAUAUGUCCUACAAACAGGGACUCCCUUAUUUUGGCCAGAUUAAAUUGCUUGAUCCAGACAACUCUCCAAUCCCAAAUGAAGUUGUCCAGUUGCAUCUGAAGGACAAAAUCGUGGGAAACUACACCACAGAUGUAAAUGGCAUCGCUCAGUUUUUCUUGGACACAUAUACGUUUACAUACCCAAAUAUCACUUUGAAAGCAGCCUACAAGGCCAAUGAAAAUUGCCAGGCUCAUGGCUGGGUGUUGCCUCAAUACCCUCAGCCCGAGUACUUUGCAUAUCGAUUUUACUCCAAGACGAAUAGCUUCCUAAAGAUUGUCCAAGAGAUGGAAGAACUGAGAUGCAACCAGCAGAAGAGGGUGCUAGUGCACUGCAUUCUCAAUAUGGAAGACUUUGAAGACAAAACCUACACAGCAGACUUCAAUUAUUUGGUGCUGUAUUAGCAAUUGUCACAAUAGAAGAAAUAGAAAAAGUAUAACUGGGGACAAAACAUAUAUUAGAAUUACGUGAUUUCAAAAGGUGUAAUCAUUCUUCAUGGGCAACAGAAAAUUGAGAUCAACGAAAAUGGGAGGAAGGGCAUAUUUUCCAUUUCUAUAGACAUUAACCCUGAAUUAGCGCCCUCAGUAGAUAUGCUUGUCUAUAGCUUGCAUCCUGGAGGAGAAAUGGUCACUGAUAGCACCCAAUUCCGAAUUGAGAAAUGCUUCGAAAAUCAGGUCAACUUAAAUUUUUCUAAAGAAAAAAGUUUACCAGGAUCCAAUAUUGAUCUUCAAGUCUCGGCUGCUUCAAACUCUCUUUGUGCUCUUUGGGCUGUAGACCAGAGUGUAUUGCUACUAAGGAAUUAUGGUCAGCUGUCAGCACAAACUGUGUAUAGUCAGCUAUAUUCCAGGGAACUACAUGGCUAUUACUUCAGAGGACUUAACUUAGAAGAUGGCCUUAAAGUGCCGUGUCUUGAAGAUGAACAUAUCCUUUACAAUGGAAUUUAUUACACACCUGCAUGGGCUGACUUUGGAAAAGAUGGCUAUGACCUUGUGAAGGCAACAGGAUUAAAGAUUUUUACCAACUCUCACCUCCGGAAACCAGUAUUGUGCAAGGAUUCUAACCAUCUUGACUCUACUGAUUACAUACCCUUAGGAUCCUCAAAACAAUCGGAUUUUUCAAAGGCAAAAUGUGACUUCUUUCCGAAAUAUUACCCAACUCUCGUUCCAACUGAUUUCAGAACCAAUGUUUGGAGAUUACUGGAUUGUUGUGAAAAGAAACUCAAGGGAGACAGUGACACACCAAUUUGCUGUUAAAAGAUAUGUGCUGCCCAAGUUUGAAGUUACAGUCAAUGCACCACAAACAGUAACUAUUUCAGAUGAUGAAUUCCAAGUGGAUGUAUGUGCUAAGUACAACUUUGGCCAACCUGUGCAAGGGGAAACCCAAAUCCGGGUGUGCAGAGAGUAUUUUUCUUCAAGCAAUUGUGAGAAAAAUGAAAAUGAAAUAUGUGAGCAAUUUAUUGCACAGUUGGAAAAUGGUUGUGUUUCUCAAAUUGUAAAUACAAAAGUCUUCCAACUCUACCGUUCGGGAUUGUUCAUGACAUUUCAUGUCGCUGUAAUUGUUACAGAAUCUGGGACAGCUUAAAUUUUCGGAUCCCAAUAAUGUACCUAUGGUGAACAAGUUGUUGCAACUGGAGCUCAAUGAUGAAUUUAUAGGAAAUUACACUACGGAUGAGAAUGGCGAAGCUCAAUUUUCCAUUGACACUUCAGACAUAUUUGAUCCAGAGUUCAACCUAAAAGCCACAUAUGUUCGACCUGAGAGCUGCUAUCUUCCCAGCUGGUUGACGCCUCAGUACUUGGAUGCUCACUUCUUAGUCUCACGCUUUUACUCCCGAACCAACAGCUUCCUGAAGAUUGUUCCAGAACCAAAGCAGCUUGAAUGUAAUCAACAGAAGGUUGUUACUGUGCAUUACUCCCUAAACAGUGAAGCAUAUGAGGAUGAUUCCAAUGUAAAGUUCUUCUAUUUGAUGAUGGUAAAAGGAGCUAUCUUACUCAGUGGACAAAAGGAAAUCAGAAACAAAGGUGUAUAACAUGGUUCCAAGUAUAGAGCCGUAUGGUUAUUUCUACCAUGGCCUCAAUCUUGAUGAUGGCAAGGAAGACCCUUGCAUUCCUCAGAGGGAUAUGUUCUACAAUGGUUUAUAUUACACACCUGUAAGCAACUAUGGGGAUGGAGAUAUCUAUAAUAUUGUCAGGAACAUGGGUCUAAAAGUCUUUACCAAUCUCCAUUACCGAAAACCAGAAGUAUGUGUGAUGGAGAGAAGGCUGCCACUCCCUAAGCCGCUUUAUCUGGAAACAGAAAAUUAUGGUCCAAUGCGUAGUGUUCCGUCUAGAAUUGCAUCUAGUGGAAUCAGAGGGGAGAAUGCUGACUAUGUAGAACAGGCUAUAAUUCAAACAGUAAGAACAAACUUCCCAGAGACAUGGAUGUGGGACCUCGUCAGUGUCGAUUCCUCAGGCUCUGCCAAUCUUUCGUUCCUCAUUCCUGAUACGAUAACCCAAUGGGAGGCAAGUGGCUUUUGUGUGAAUGGUGACGUUGGAUUUGGCAUUUCCUCUACAACCACUCUAGAAGUCUCCCAACCUUUCUUUAUUGAGAUUGCCUCACCCUUUUCGGUUGUUCAAAAUGAACAAUUUGAUUUGAUUGUCAAUGUCUUCAGCUACCGGAAUACAUGUGUAGAGAUUUCUGUUCAAGUGGAGGAGUCUCAGAAUUAUGAAGCAAAUAUUCAUACCUUGAAAAUCAAUGGCAGUGAGGUUAUUCAAGCUGGAGGGAGGAAAACAAACGUCUGGACUAUUAUACCUAAGAAAUUGGGUAAAGUGAAUAUCACUGUAGUUGCUGAGUCCAAACAAAGCAGUGCUUGCCCAAAUGAAGGAAUGGAGCAGCAAAAGCUAAACUGGAAAGACACUGUGGUCCAAAGCUUCUUAGUAGAGCCUGAAGGUAUUGAAAAGGAAAGGACCCAGAGUUUCCUUAUCUGUACAGAAGGUGCCAAAGCCUCCAAGCAGGGAGUUUUGGACUUGCCAAACGAUGUAGUAGAAGGGUCAGCCAGAGGCUUUUUCACUGUUGUGGGGGAUAUUCUAGGACUUGCCUUGCAGAAUCUGGUUGUUCUCCAAAUGCCCUAUGGAAGUGGAGAGCAGAAUGCUGCCCUACUAGCAUCUGAUACUUAUGUUCUGGACUAUCUGAAAUCUACUGAGCAACUGACAGAGGAAGUUCAAUCUAAGGCUUUCUUUCUCUUAUCUAAUGGUUAUCAAAGGCAAUUAUCUUUCAAAAACUCUGAUGGUUCCUAUAGUGUGUUUUGGCAGCAGAGUCAGAAAGGAAGCAUAUGACUCAGUGCUCUUACUUUUAAGACAUUGGAGAGAAUGAAAAAAUAUGUAUUCAUUGAUGAAAAUGUUCAAAAACAGACCUUAAUCUGGCUUUCAAGCCAACAGAAAACAAGCGGCUGCUUUAAGAAUGAUGGCCAGCUUUUCAACCACGCCUGGGAGGGUGGAGAUGAAGAGGACAUUUCACUCACUGCUUUCCUGCUCUACGAAACGCACUCUUUUGCCUUGAAGCGGCAUUGGACAGUGGUGUCACUAAUGGCUAUAAUCAUGCAAUUCUAGCUUAUGCUUUUGCCUUAGCUGGAAAAGAGAAGCAAGUGGAAUCUUUACUCCAAACCCUGGAUCAAUCUGCCCCAAAACUAAAUAAUGUCAUCUACUGGGAAAGAGAAAGGAAACCCAAGACAGAAGAAUUUCCAUCCUUUAUUCCCUGGGCACCUUCUGCUCAGACUGAGAAGAGUUGCUACGUGCUGUUGGCUGUCAUUUCCCGGAAAAUUCCUGACCUCACCUAUGCUAGUAAGAUUGUGCAGUGGCUUGCCCAACGGAUGAAUUCCCAUGGAGGCUUUUCUUCCAACCAGGCUCCGGUAGAUUGCAAACGACCUGCUUUCUUUGUGAUCCCGGCUGCAUUCGGACCCCUGUCAGACAGUAAAUCCCAAGCUCCCGUAGAUUGCAAAGGACAUGCUUUCUUUGUGAUCCCGGGCUGCAUUCGGACCCCUGUCGGAUAGUGAAUUCCAAAUAAUGUACCUACCGUCGGCAGAUCUGAGCUUUCUUCUUGGACACCUAAUACCCACAGUCCUCCAGUGAAGGAUCCAGUGAGAUUUUCCAGGUUAACGGUCAUAACCGCCUACUGGUCCAACGUUCAGAAGUAACACAGGCACCUGGAGAAUACACAGUAGAUGUGGAAGGACACGGUUGUACAUUUAUCCAGGCCACCCUUAAGUACAAUGUUCUCCUACCUAAGAAGGCAUCUGGAUUUUCUCUUUCCUUGGAAAUAGUAAAGAACUACUCUUCGACUGCUUUUGACCUCACAGUGACCCUCAAAUACACUGGAAUUCGCAAUAAAUCCAGUAUGGUGGUUAUAGAUGUAAAAAUGCUAUCAGGAUUUACUCCAACCAUGUCAUCCAUUGAAGAGCUUGAAAACAAGGGCCAAGUGAUGAAGACUGAAGUCAAGAAUGACCAUGUUCUUUUCUACUUGGAAAAUGGUUUUGGUCGAGCAGACAGUUUCCCUUUUUCUGUUGAGCAGAGCAACCUUGUGUUCAACAUUCAGCCAGCCCCAGCCAUGGUCUACGAUUAUUACGAAAAAGGUAGGCAAGCAACAGCCAUGCCCUAAGGUUAUUGAAUGUGUUAUUUAUAUAUAACAUUCCCUGAGCUACUAAACUUUCCAAAAUCAACCUCCGUCUUCACAGAGUAAACAAUAGAUGGCAUUACUUUGUAUACUGGUUUCUUUAUCCCAUGAUGUGUCUUCUGACUGAACCCAUUUUCCAGUUACCAGAGUUUUUCAACACCAGAAUCCUUGCAAUAUAACCUGACAGGGCUCCACUUGAACUUGAAAUACAAGCCACACUAAGCUUCCAGGUCUUUUUGUUAUUGUCAUUGUUGUUCAUGCUAAGACUGACUGUUCCAAGCUACUGCUGUGGACUUUGACUUAAAAAGAGGAGUGGGGAAUAUUCUGAAAUGCUAACUUAAAAAUUUGAUAGAUUAAUUUCUAAAACAUAUACAAAGAUGUUGUAGAGACCACACAACUGUUCCCUGGAAGGUUGGUACUAUUUAUUUCUUGUUGAAUGCUGUGUGAAGUUUGUGGAGUGUUUGAAUUCUGUCUCUAUCAAUCAUUUACUAAUAGAAUAUAUUUCAUCAAGUGUCUUAAAUAUUAUUAGCAUAUUUCUGGAUGUAUAAAAUGGGAAAGUAAUUGUCUCUAUUUCAAAAUUAUUGGAAGGAUUAGAUCUAAUGUGCUUAUAUCAUCUAUUUAAUAAAAAUACAUGUUCCCUUUAUUUUUUCAGAAGAAUAUGCCCUAGCUUUUUACAACAUCGACAGUAGUUCAGUUUCCCAGUGAGACAAAGCAAUUACUGGAAGAGGUGAAGAAAUUUUAUUACGUCAUAAACCAUUGAAAACACAUCUAGUAAGAAAAUGAAAACCUGAAUAAGAUAGGACAGUAGUUGAAGAAAGAAAAGUGUCUGGUACUUCAUUAGACUUGUGUAGCUGUGUACUGCAUGAGUAAUCUGAUAAUCAUUAAGAUUAUAUUAAUUUCUUUAAAAAUAGCUUUAAAGAAUUCACAGCUAUAUAUGUACCUUUUAUAAAUCUCUCAUUUUUGUUUUGUAAGUUGACAGGUCAGUAAAAAUUUAGGCAUAUAUAUUUGUACAUAUGUGUGUGUAUGUACAUGUCUAUGUGCCUAUAUAUGCAUGAUUUUAUAUCUAAAUAUCUAUUUAUAUAUACAUACAAACGUGUUUAUUGUUUAAACGAUGUUUUAAAUCCCAGGUGGAAAAGCAUUUCUUGUAACAAACCGAUUCUUCUGUAUCAAACCUGGAAAAAAAUCAUGAACCAUCUGACAUCGUGAACAGUUUGCAGUGGGCUAUGGUUUCUUGUCAAGUCUUAUUUCCUUAUCAUCCCAUUAAAUGUUGUCAUUUUGCA